CGCUCGAAAGACGCUAGAUGUGGGGGGGCCCUAAUUAGAAUGUAUACCUUCAACUGGUCAAUGUGAAGUUGACUUUCUAAUAAAAUUAGGAAUGAUUUCAUUGGUUACGGGCGUGCCUAGGUAAAUAUAAUGAUUUUAUUGCAUUCGUAACGCGAACGAAGUACAGUGUAUAUUAUUAUUAUAUGCUCACGAGGGCCUACAGCGAACACCGAAGUUCACAAAUUUCGGGCAUUUUUCUCUGUCUCUGUGUCAAUCUGCGAACUUUGGUGUUCGCGGUAGGCCCUCAGAGAUCGUUUUCUUGCUGUAUGAUUAGUGGCUAAUACCAUUAGAAUCGUAACACAAAGAAAAUACUUAUCAAUGACAACCUAACUGUGAGAAACAAGACUUAAGCUCUGCGGUGGCGGUUAUAAUAUAAUGCUGUGUUUUAUACCCAGAUCUCCUGUCCGAUGCUUUGGUUUAUAAUUUAGUCUUAAAGCGCAGGUGAAAAGCGAAUUUUAGCAAGACUACGAUUUUAAUUAUGCUCAGUUUUUGUAAAUAAUCUAAAAAUUCAUCGUCGUCUUUGCCCCGCCUAUAUUUAAAAUAACAUGGAUUUUGUUUAUAUCUUGCCAAAAUUCGCGAUUUUACUGAAAAUAUAGUAUAUAUAUCCACCGUUAGGUUUCCCUUUUCUUAUUUAAGUGCGCAAUUAUUUAUAUUUUAUUCUCAAUCACAAUAUGUUACCAUUUUUCACUUAAUAUUAUUAAUAAUCUAUUGUGUAAGAUUUUAUAAAAAUUGCCGCUUUUAUUUUUGUAAGUUUUCGUUUGUUUUUUUUUUUGUUUUGUUGGCAAGUAUCGGUAUACGUUCACUGAAUAAUAUAAUUAUUUAUACGCUAGUUCUAGCAUUUGCUGUUUACUUAUACAUCGAAGAACCGAUCCUUAAUAAAGAUGAUAGGUAAAAAUGUGUUGAAAAAGUGUAUUUUCCAGACCACAGAUGGUUAUGUUUAGUUUUGUUUUUAGUAUAUUUAUUGCUGCGAGAAGUCAGUGAGAAUCGGCAUUGUGUUAUCCAAAUAAACUUUUGUAUGUGUAUAUGAAAA